CCCUUAGAUGUCCUGGGCUGCACGCGCGCUACACUGAUGUGUCCAGUAAGCACCUAACCUCUUCCGAAAGGAACGGGUAACCUUUGCAAAGCACAUCGUGAUGGGGAUAGAUUAUUGCAAUUAUUAGUCUUGAACGAGGAAUUCCUAGUAAGCACAAGUCAUCAGCUUGUGUUGAUUACGUCCCUGCCCUUUGUACACACCGCCCGUCGCUCCUACCGAUUGAAUGUUCCGGUGAGCUCUUCGGACUGCGCGGUCUGCAGUUUCUGCGUUCCGUGCAGAAAGUUGCGCAAACCUUAACAUUUAGAGGAAGGAGAAGUCGUAACA
rnacentral:rRNA from 1 species